UGGACUAAGGCCAGGUGUAUGUGGAU
rnacentral:piRNA from 1 species